rnacentral:rRNA from 1 species
UACGUAGGGGGCUAGCGUUGCUCGGAAUCACUGGGCGUAAAGCGCACGUAGGCGGCUUUCUAAGUCAGGGGUGAAAUCCUGGAGCUCAACUCCAGAACUGCCUUUGAUACUGGAGAGCUUGAGUCCGGGAGAGGUGAGUGGAACUCCGAGUGUAGAGGUGAAAUUCGUAGAUAUUCGGAAGAACACCAGUGGCGAAGGCGGCUCACUGGCCCGGUACUGACGCUGAUGUGCGAAAGCGUGGGGAGCAAACAGG